CACGGAUGUGAGGCUAUCCACUAGAACAAUGGUUCUCAACUUUUUUCACACUGAGACCCUUUAAAACAGAUCUUCAUGUUGUGUGACACCAACACCAACCAUAAUGUUACUUGUAUAUAAGUUUUCAGGGCUGACCAUUUGGCACUGAGCAACCAAUUGGUGUGCUCUUCCUUGGGGAAGACCACCUGUCCUGCUUCCAGCCUUUCUUGGUUGCCCAUAGUUUUUGUGUAGGGUUGAAGUCUUAUGGGUUUUUCCCUGUCCACUUUGGCAUGUCCACUGAUGUCUUCCUUGUUAAACUUACAUUUGGGCAGCCAUGUUGGUGAGACUUUAUUGGUGUCUCCUCUGACAAUACCAGGAGAUGCAAUCUUACAGCAAACUCCCACUCUGACUCUCAUGGUUCUCUCUGCCAACCUCUUCUUCAGUGUUCACCAAGCUUAAGGUAAAGGAGUGUUGUGUAGAUGUUUCCAUUUGGACUGAACUCAACCACUCUGCAUUUUGACUGGUUGUAAUUUUCUGUAGUUACCCUGUCUGUUGCAAAUAGAGUUUCCUUGGUGAGGGCUGAAGACUACCGUUAUCUGUGAGUCUGAGGACAAACUUUCACAGAUUAUUUUUAGGCAUGAUGGUGGUUUAAUAAAGUAGUAGUUGUAGACUGUUCUCCAAUAAUUAUGACUUCACUAGCACUGAGCAGUUGACUAAGUUUCCAGUACCAAGCACGUUUCCCUGUUGGUGAGAGGGUCUUAAGUCCCAGGGUCUUAGAGAGAUGUUGGCUACCACCAAAGUGUGUGUAUCACUGUUACACUCUUACGGGCAUCCUGCCUUGCUGGUGAUUGAUGUGGUUGUAUCACUAUUACACUCUUACGGGCAUUCUGCCUUGUCGGUGACUGAUGUGGUUCACAGACUCAUCACUGGAUAGUGCUGUUGGCUGCUUCAGAAGCUUGUGUGGUGCUCUUCAGCACCAUUGGCCAUGCCACCCUGGAUAUGCCUCAUUUCUGAAGCUAAGCAGGGUUAGGCCUGGCACAUACUUGGGUAAAGGACAAUUUAUUUUUUAAAUUGUGAAAUCGUAGGUUUUCAUAAGCCUUUGCAUACUUCCUUCCUUCGAAUUGCCAUCCCUUCCACCUCAAGGUCUCUCUGAUGCUACCAGACUUCCCCAUCCCACUUAAGCCAUCCACCCUCAGUAGGUUAAACUACUAUCCCUCUUACCUCAAUGUGUCUACCCACUGCCCCAAAGGCUUUCUCUAGUUUUCUGGCUUCCAUUUGUUCUCCAGUGAAACACACAGACAAAUCUCUGGUUUAGUUUUGAGACAGGGUCUCUCACUGAACAGAGAGUUUACCAAUUAGGUUAGCCUGGCUGCCGAGUGAGCCCCAAGUAUCUUCCCAGGACAUCCUUAGCACUCUAAUUAUGGGUAUGUAUCACAGAGCCCAAUUUUAACACGGGAAAUGAGAAUUUGAAUUUUUCUAGGUCCUUCUGCUUGCAAGGCAGGCAUUUUACCGAUAAAGCCAAGUCCUCAGCUAGUUUAGUUAUUUUAAAGGUUUUAAAUAUUUUAAAAUUAUCUUCAGUUAGGUUAAUUCUUUGUAGCAUCUAAGUCUCUUCCAGUUGUUCUUUUAUACUGAGUUUAUUAGAAUUUAUAUUGUCGUGUCCUCCAGUGACCAACUACAAUGAGAUCUUGUGAGAGUCAAUCAUUCCUGAUGAGUUGACUGCAUCAAAAUUACGUAGGGAUUAGUGGGACACUCUCGUGGGUGUCAUGGAAUAAUUGAGAGACAAAACCCACUCUUAAAGUGAGGAGAUCCUCCCCAUAGCCUGGGAAGGCCUGAGCUGAACAGAAGGAGUUUAAAAAAAAGAGAAACAACUGAAUAUGAUCUCUCUCUCUCUCUCUCUCUCUCUCUCUCUCUCUCUCCCCCCCCUCUCUCUCUCCCUCUCCCUCCCUCCCCCCCCUCUCUGUUGUGAUAUAAACAGCUCCACCCCACUAGCACCUAGCAUAUGGGAUUCUUUGAAUUAUAAGCCUGAGUAACUCUUCCUCCUGUAAGGUAGUCAGAUCUCUUAUCCUAGCAAGGCCAAGCAUAGCUUACACAGACCUGAACACACAGGAAGCGGUGGUCCGCAGGAAGCGGUGGUCCGCAGGAAGCGGUGGUCCGCAGGAAGCGGUGGUCCUCAGGAAGAGGUGGUCCACAGGAUUCUGAGUCUGAGGUUUAGUCACCUGCAGUAGCUCAGCCUCUGCUGAGCAAUCCUUGACAACUGCCAUCAUCUGGCUAAAGUGUUUCUGCCUCUGCUUACCCCAGGAGCUUUGUCCUGGGAUCUCCUCCUAUGUCCUGAUAGUGACGGACAGGACGACAAGUUGGGUGUACUCUUGAUCAUGGAUGAGACAGCCCAGAAGCAGAUGGAAGGAUGUCCGAAUAUUGACUGUCAAGAUAGAAGGGAACCCGGAGCCAAAGAAUAUGGUAGCCCCUAGCAACUGAAAAGGGUAAAUAAAUAGGUUGACCCUCAUCUCCGUGUUUAUUCUAUUUUCUUGUAUUAUGUGAUUUCACUUAUAUAUAUACUAGGCAAGCUUCCUCCCCAUGAGAUACUGCCUCAGGCCUUUUUUACAGACUCUCACUAAGUUACCUAGACUGGUUAUUGAGCUCGCUUUAUAGCCCAGGCUGUACUUAAAAGGGUCAUCUUUCUGUCUUGUCUUUGAACGGCAGGCCUGUACUGCAGGCCCUGUUUUCUGUCUAUUCCUUGAUUGUAGCCUAGUGAGACCCAAUUUUGAUUUAUGACCUUCAGAAGUGUCAAAUAAUCGAUUGUGUCGUUUGAAGCCACUAAGUUGGUGAGUGGUGAUUUGUUACGGCAUCAAAGGGAGAUAAAUGCAUAUCUUCACAAGGAAACACAGCUCAUGUCAGAGGAGAAACAUUUUUCUGUUGGGCCUUAAUGGUUGCACUCCAUUAAGGGCUGGAAAGCCAUAGCGUUUCCUCCAAGUGUAGUUCGGAAUAGAUCUGUAGGGACUGAUGGACAGCAUAUGCCUCCCUGGGUCCUGGCUGUCUCAGAUAUGGUGUACACAGUUGUGCUAUCUGAUGCCUGUUGUUCUAGAACUUAGAGGCAGCAUGUCAGUGCAUGAAUCUCUACAAGGGGGUGGAGCCUCCAGAGCAUGCUUUGCAUAUAUUCUUUAGGUGUGAUGAAUGUGUGCCUCAAAGUGCCAGUUUCAUCCUAUUAGAAGCUCCAGCAAGCAAAGAAAUGUGGCUUUCUGGAAGGUCCCAAAGCUGAUGUUCCAGUGCAUCUGCCAGUCUUCCUCGGAGCAUGGAAAAAUAUUGUACUUGAUGAGCGUUCGUUAUGACUACACUUCUGCUCUGGGGAGUAUGAUACUUUUUUUCUGCAGUGUUUGGGAAGGAAGCAUCUCUGGUAUUGGUCUCUGCCCAUCAGAAAUCAAUGUUGUGAUAUAAUUACAUUUGUGCAGCAGAUGGAUUAUCCAUGAGCACGUGGCUGAAGCUCCUGUUGCAGUUAGAGGCAACAGAUCUGAGGGUGGGGUAGGAGAGGAGGUGUGGCUCAAUGUGCCUUUCUGUUCCCAGAUAACAGCCAUCUAGCUCAGGCCUCUGCUGUUUUGCCAAGGAUGCUUGGCAAAUAAAUCUGAGGCUUGGGGAAGAAAAUUAAUAUUAAUUAAGUACCUAGUAUGCAUUGGACUAUUUCUAUAAUUGUCUAUUUAAUAUAUAGAUUAUUAUUAUUAUGUACAUGCACACACACACACACACACACACACACACACACACACACACACACGCGCGCGCGCGCGCAUGUGAAAGCCUUGGCAAAUGCGGUAGGCCAAGCGACAAUCUUGUGCCCUCAGUUCUAGCUUUCCAUCUCUUACAUUGGUUCUGUGGAUCAAACUCAGGUCACCAGGCUUCUGGCCAAUGCUACUACUGAGCCAUCUCACCAGCCUUCAUUUACUGUUUAAGGCAAUCCUACAAAAUAAGUUUGGCCAUCUUAUAUGUAAAAGAAAAAAAUCAGGUUUGAAGAAAUCAGAGUUAGGGAACUUCUGGGUAUUUUUUAGUGCUUCCCUCUAAAUGUAUCUAGGUUCCUUCAGCCAGUGCAUAGAAUUUUGCUGCUCUUUAUCCUUCUUAAUAAAUGUGUCUUUCCCCCUGACUUUGAAUGAGGUAUGUGGUCUUCUUAGAACAGUCAAAUGUGAGUAGAAAUGGAUUUCUUCUACAUGCUAAUCUGGAGAACCAGUACUCAAUUUUCUGUGUUCUUUCUCCCUCCAGUAUGGCUCUGGAAUCUUCCACAAAGAGGUUGCUCUGUCAUCUGGUUCUGAGCACGAGGGUGGCAUGGGGGUGUGGUGGGGCCAGAGAUCCUACCCAGUGUGUAAGAGUCAUAAAUUCUGAGUGAAGCACUGUUCAGUGUCUUGAGCCUCUAACAAAUUUAAAGUCAUUGGGUGAAGCAACAUCACUUGCUCUGAAUCAGAUGCCAAACAGAAGAAAAUUGACCACUCGGUUAAUCUGGAAUCAAAGUUGAGACUUUUGUGUCUGUUCUGCAGGGUACCCAGGAAGCUAAGUUUCUUAUUCAUGAUCUGAACAGGGGACUGAGACAAUAAGUAGAGGAGUGUUCUUCAUCAAAGUUCUUAGUUUACCUGGUCCCUAGAAGACAAGUGGGCUUUCAUGGAUUUCAUGCCUUCUAAGAGUCACUUCUGUAUCUCCGAGAAGAUGGCAGAGGAGGGGGCUCUGUCUUUCUCUCUCCAUCUCUUGUGGCACACUUGAUGGUCGCUGAUAGAAUGUUUCCAGUAGAGUUACUAGACCAGUGUGAAGUGAUUAGAUCACAAUUAAGUGAGUUCAAAGAUGAGUAAUGGACAAAAAGACCCAUGGGAGCAAGGAAAAAGCUGAGCUGUCAUGAGGUGACAGGGAAGGGAAGAGCAUCAGGGCAGAUGUCUUUGACUGGGUUUCAGGGGGAGGCACUGGACUAACAAAAGAGAAUAGAAUGGAAUAGAAUGUACUGAAAUAUGAGUUGGAUGGAAUUAAGCAAGUGGAAUAGAAUUGUUUGUUGUUUUAAAAAAAUGUGUAUGUGGUAUAUCUUUGUGUGGUUGGGUUAAUGCACAUGCUAUGUGAGUACAUAUGUGUGGACAUAUGGAGCCCAUAAACCAACGUCAGUCUCUCUCUCUCUCUCUCUCUCUCUCUCUCUCUCUCUCUCUCUCUCUCUCUCUCUCUCUCUUAUUUUUGAGAGAUCUUCCAUGAACCCAGAGCUACUGGUUAUCUAGACAAACUGUGCUGUGAGCUCCAGAGGUCUGGCCCCCCUCCCCCAACCCUCACGCCCAGCACUAGAACUACAAACACAGGUCACCAGGCCUGGUGAGUUGGUCAGGUACUCAUGCAGCAGGAGGCACAUCACUGACUGAAAUUUCUCUCCAACCCCUACUUAAAGGCAUAGAUCGGAUGAAACAGACUGGGGAGAAAGGCAAUGGCAGUUGCUUUCUAGUUCUCUGCCCUUUUAUCACCUCUUAUCCUGGGACCAUUUUUGCUACUGUAGUAGUCAAAAUAAAGUCAAGACAAACAUAUCAUUGGCAACAUACCUCAUCUAUAAGAGGAGUAAUUGUGAUAUCCUCAUUAGCUUUGGCAGACUGCCUUAGAGAUGUCCUCUGGCCUUCAGGUAUAGAUAGAUAAUAGAUAGAUAAAUAGAUAGAUAGAUGAUAGAUAAUAAAUAGGUAAUAGAUGAUAGAUAGGUGAUUGAGCAUAGAUAGAUGAUAGAUAGAUAUAUGAUAGAUAGAUAGAUAGAUAGAUAGAUAGAUAGAUAGAUAGAUAGAUGAUUGAUAGGAGGGAAGGCCAGGGGUCAUUAUCUUUUUUACUUCUUUUCUACUUUCUCCUUCCCCUGACUUAUUUUGGAUCCCUGUAUAGUAAUAAGAGACUCUUCCUUCUUUAUCCUUCUCCCUCCCAGAAUGAGAGAAUGUGCUUGGAAACAGUUGCCGAGGGAGCAAUCUUGUUUUUGAAAAAGAAAUGGCAAAAAGGAGAAAAAAGUAUUUGUGGGGAUGCCAAACCAGAGUGAGCCUUGUUUAAGCAAUUGAGGUGGUGGGAAUGUGUUUACACAGCAAGGGGACACAGGCUGGGUGUCUGCUGUCACUUAAGUGGAUGGUAUUCUGAAAGGACUUUAUGAUCUAUCCUUUAAUUCAUUGUUACUGCUUCUGGUCCAGGAGAAUCCUAGUGCUUAUGAAGCUUGGGUUAGGCAGCAGAAAAUUGACAGCCAGUCUGAGCCUGUGGUUUUCUAAUAGAAAUCCAGGCACAGUUACAAUGCAUUACUGGGCAUAUCCACAACUGUUGGAAGGAUUAAAUGGGGUGAUGUGUGUUCCAUGUUUGGGAUAGAGCCCACUUAGCAAGCUCUAAAUAAAAGCCCAUUACUAAUUCUGUGUACUUAUAUACAUGUGUUCAUCAUCCUGUAAACACUCGUUGAUGGGGCCAAGUGUAUAUGCACUUAUUUUUUUCUUUACACAAUUGUACUUGGUACAUCUAUGAGAAUAUGUUGACACAAGGGGUCUAUUUACAUCCAUAACUGCAAAUAGACAAAUCAGGCAUACUCAAGGCACACGGCUCUAAAUUGCAUACACACCAAAACUGAAUGUUUAGAAAUACAUUUUGCAAGGUUCCUUUGGAAACAUAGCCAAGGGCAUUUGAAAUCAUUGUGAUAAGAAGCUCACUUAGAAAAUUGUUCAUGUUUCAUCUUUUGAUGGUUCCAAAUGAUUCUUAUUCCAUCCCCUUUACUGUUCACCUUAUAUGUCCAUCUGUCAAUCCAUCCAUCCAUCCAUCCAUCCAUCCAUCUGUCCGUCCGUCCGUCCAUCCAUCCAUUCAUCCGUCCAUCCAUCCAUCCAUCAUCCAUCCAUCCAUCCAUCCAUCUAUCCAUCCAUCCAUCCAUCCCACUAAGAUGAUUUGAGUACUCACUCUGUGUUUAAUAUAGUGGUAGGCAUUGGGCUCAUAAGACAUGCAUGAGUCUAUCUUCACAGAGCCUCUAGUCUACACUGACAUUGAGCAGUUUGCUUAAUAAUAUAUAUGAAUUGAUUUACAAUGGCAGAGCCAGAGCGCUACUGUGAAUAUUUUACUUCCUGGUCAGGGUAGAACUUACAGUCUCAGAGUUUGGAGCCGGAUUAUCUGGAGUCAAAUGCCAGUCUGCCAUUCUUUGCUAUGUCUGGGCAACCUUUCAUCAUCCCAGUUUCUCAUCUCUAAUGCAGAGGUCACAGAAAUUCUAGUGCAACGAAGUUUGGUGAGGAAUGAAAGACCACAGCAUGAGAACAUAUGAAACAGAUUGUGAUUUAUUAAGUAUUAUACAUUAGUACCACAAUUGCUAUUACUGUUUGUCUCAGACAGCCCUUUGUACUUGGUGGGUGUGACCCUGCACUGCAUAGAGCAGUUCCACAUGACCAGAUUACUGUUAUCACUUUUCACUGUCCUCUGGACUGUUCCUAGAGAAGUCUCUUCCAGGCUAGGUGAUGAUCACUCUCUCAGUUUUCCGAGACCUGGUGGUGAGGACAGCUUUAGUCUUUCUUUGAGAAGAGACUUAGAAACAGCCAGUGAGAUCCUGCAAGUCCCUGCCUCUAUUUGUCUGCCAUGGAUGGUCUUCUGCUUGACUCCUCUCCGCAGAUAUUCUUUGACAUGGUCUCCUUGGAGUGUGGAGGGGGCAGUUUCAAUGAUAAAGUUCUUUCUGUGCCUUAUGAGUCAAAUGUGAUGACAGUUUCCCCCAGUGCCUGGCCCUACAAAGAGCAGUAAAGAGAGAACACACACACAUACAUACACACACACACACACACACACACACACACACACACACACACACACACAGAGAGAGAGAGAGAGAGAGAGACAGAGAUAGAGACAGAGACAGAGACAGAGAGACAGAGAGAGACAGACAGACACAAACACACAGGCACACACAUACAGACACAACACACACAUACAGACACAACACAUACAGACACAACAACACACACACAUACACACACACACACACACACACACACACACAGAGAGAGAGAGAGAGAGAGAGAGAGAGAGAGAGAGAGAGAGAGAGAGAGAC